UGAACUUUUGUAAUUUUCAAAGCAUACUGAAGUGCAUUGGAGAAUCUGGUAAAUGGAACAAUGCAGAAUCCCAAAACGAACCUUCCUGGGGCCUAUUCUUAACACAUGGUUGGUGAGAUUGAUUUUGCUAGACUCGUGAUUGCAAGACUCUGGAAAUCUACACAAACACCAACAAAAGAAUUAUGGUUAAAUAAAUUAUUGGAAAUCAAGAAUAUGGAUCAACUAUCCUUUUUGAUUAAAAGAUCGAACGGAACUACAAUAAAGGCCACUGACUGGACUAACUUCGAGGACUAUUUAAAGAAUAAAAUAUUAUUAAGUAAAGACUGAUCUAAAGAUUUGAAAUGAACUAUAUAUGGAAGUCAACCCACCCAUCCACCUACCCCUUUCCCUAUUCCCCACCACCCCCCCUUUUAUGUCCGACACACAGUUAUUGUUAUUGUUGUAUUGUUUUAUUGUCAAACUUUGUCUGUCUGUUUGUUUGUGUUGAGAAAAAUCACAAUAAAAAAUUAUUCUAAAAAAAAAGCAGAAUACUUGACAUUUUCCCAUUGCAGAGUUUUGUGUCUGUAAGGUUUAGUGCUGUGAACGGAAGCAGGUUAAUAUAACUCGUUUCUGCUUGCGUUCUAGUGACCACCCCCAAACCAAAACCUGGGCUUUCCCUGCAGGGGUGGCUACAUGCUAUCUUGAUUGAAAUUGGGAUAGCAUGAAGCCACCCUGAACCACCAAAUUUCCCCC
rnacentral:lncRNA from 11 species